GAUGAAGGAACGCAGCGAAAUGCGAUAAGUAAUGUGAAUUGCAGAAUUCAGUGAAUCAUCGAGUCUUUGAACGCACAUUGCGCCCCCUGGUAUUCCGGGGGGCAUGCCUGUCCGAGCGUCAUUGCUGCCCUCAAGCACGGCUUGUGUGUUGGGCCGUCGUCCCCCUCCUAGGGGACGGGCCCGAAAGGCAGCGGCGGCACCGCGUCCGGUCCUCGAGCGUAUGGGGCUUCGUCACCCGCUCCGUAGGCCCGGCCGGCGCUUGCCGACGACCAUCAAUCUCUUUCUCCAGGUUGACCUCGGAUCAGGUAGGGAUACCCGCUGAACUUAAGCAUAUCAAUAAGCGGAGGA
rnacentral:misc_RNA from 1 species